GUCUAUGGCCAUGCCACCCACAAUGUACCUGAUCUCAUCUGAUCUUGGAAGCUAGGUAGCGUUGAGCCUGAUUAGUGCUUGGAUGGGAGAUUGCCAGGGAAUAGUGGGUUCUCUAGACU
rnacentral:rRNA from 1 species